GCGGGAUUAGUAUAAUGGCAGUACACUUGCUUCCCAAGCAAGGGGCGCCAGUCCGAUUCUGGUAUCCCGCU
rnacentral:tRNA from 1 species